rnacentral:rRNA from 1 species
UACGUAGGGUGCAAGCGUUGUCCGGAAUUAUUGGGCGUAAAGAGCUUGUAGGCGGCUACAUAAGUCGGAUGUGAAAGCCCCGGGCUCAACCCGGGAAGUGCACUCGAUACUGCGUAGCUUGAGUCUCGGAGAGGUUGGUGGAAUUCUCGGUGUAGAGGUGAAAUUCGUAGAUAUCGAGAGGAACACCGGUGGCGAAGGCGGCCAACUGGACGAAGACUGACGCUGAGACACGAAAGCGUGGGGAGCAAACAGG